AUACGGAGGAUGUGAGCGUUAUCCGGAUUUAUUAGGUUUAAAGGGUGUGUAGGCGGUAUUUUAAGUCAGUGGUGAAAUCUCGGAGCUUAACUUCGAAACUGCCAUUGAUACUGGAAUACUUGAGUAUAGUUGAGGUAGGCGGAAUAUGUAAUGUAGCGGUGAAAUGCAUAGAUAUUACAUAGAACACCGAUUGCGAAGGCAGCUUACUAAACUAUUCCUGACGCUGAUGCACGAAAGCGUGGGGAGCGAACAGGAUUAGAAACCCGAGUAGUCC
rnacentral:rRNA from 1 species